AUGGCGGCUGGUGGCUGCGACAUCAAUGCGAGCUACGAUAUCAAGCAUCUGCUCAAGAGCGACGCCCUGUACAAGUACAUCCUGGAUACCACGGUGUUCCCCCGAGAGCCGGAGUGCAUGCGCGACCUGCGCCUCCUCACCGACAAGCACCAGAGGGGCAUCAUGCAGUCAACGGCGGAGGAGGCCCAACUGCUGCAAUUGCUGAUCAAGAUAGCGGGCGCCAGGAACACGAUCGAGGUCGGCGUGUUCACGGGCUACUCGCUCCUCGCCACCGCGUUGGCGUUGCCGGAGGAUGCCAAGGUGGUGGCCAUCGACAUCAACCGAUUCGAACUCGGCCUGCCCUUCAUCCAGAAAGCCGGCGUGGCGCACAAGGUGGACUUCCGCGAGGGCAGGGCGCUCGACCGCCUCGACGAGCUCCUCGCCGCCGACCCCGUGGCUCAGUACGACUUCGCCUUUGUGGACGCCGACAAGCAGAACUACGGGCGGUACCAUGAGCAGCUGAUCCGGCUGGUCCGCGUCGGUGGCACCAUCGUCUACGACAACACGCUCUGGGGCGGCACUGUGGCCGUCCUCCCUGGUGUAGUUGUGGACAGUGUCCUCGCGUCCAUCGCCGAGUUCCUCAAGGGCUUCAACGCCGAGCUCGCCGCUGAUCCGUGUGUCGACGUCUGCCAGAUCGCGGUGGGAGACGGCCUCACCAUCUGCCGCCGCCUCGUCUAA
rnacentral:rRNA from 1 species